GAUGGCCACAUCACGUUGGGACACUGGUUACCUUACGAUAACGGAAGUUAAGCAACGUCGAGCCUAGUCAGUACCUAGAUGGGUGACUGCUAGGAAAUACCAGGUGAUGUA